UGCUUCUCUCCAUCUCAGUGUACUUUAUGUAACUGUUCCUUGGGCCACACUCCAAAUCAGAAGAGCAACACUGUUCAGGUUAAGCUGAAACUGGGAAGUUUGAGGUGAUAUUUCAUGGCCUUUUUGAAAGAAACCUUAGACUGAAGAGGCUCUGUGCUGCAUCUGUGGUCAAAGCUGGAGGUCACAUCAUGCACCAGGACUCAGCUGCGAGUUUGAGUGAGAACAAAAGGACGGUUGUUACCCCCAAGAGCUGUCGGUGAGCACAGAUACAGCCAUGGGUGCGGUGCCAGGACUGUCACGGUGGGACCACGGCGCCCAAGCACGGCGAUUUCCCCCAGACUCUCGCAGAGGACCUUUCCAAGGGGAAAUGGCUCUUGACAACUGCCAGCUCCUUGCAGCUCCUGCCAUCGUGGCAAGGAGAAAACGAUUCCCAGUGGGGACAGCUCAGCUCAGCAGCUCCAAAGUACCUGGAAACAGCUGGAAAAACUCUCCAGUAAAGUCUGUCACCUAGAUCACAUUACCACAGCUGGAGCUCAAGGACUUGGCGAUGGUACGUGCUGCCCCUCAAACUUUACAUCGCCUGUGUACAAGCUGGUUUCUGAAGUCAGUCUGGACCAGCAGUAAUAA